CCUACGGGUGGCAGCAGUGGGGGAUAUUGCACAAUGGGGGGAACCCUGAUGCAGCGACGCCGCGUGGGUGAAGGAGCGUUUCGGCGCGUAAAGCCCUAUCGGCAGGGAAGAAAAUGACGGUACCUGACCAACAAGCCCCGGAUAACUACGUGCCAGCAGCCGCGGGAAUACGGAGGGGGCAAGCGUUAUCCGGAUUUACUGGGUGUAAGGGGGGCGCAGGCGGCAAUGCAAGCCAGGGGUGAAAGCCCGGGGCUCAACCCCGGGACGGCUCUUGGAACUGCAGGGCUGGAGUACAGGAGGGGCAGGCGGAAUGCCUGGUGUAGCGGUGAAAUGCGUAGAUAUUAGGAGGAACACCGGUGGCGAAGGCGGCCUGCUGGACUGUGACUGACGUUGAGGCCCGAAGGCGUGGGGAGCGAACAGGAUUAGAUACCCCAGUAGUC
rnacentral:rRNA from 1 species